rfam:Brachypodium distachyon strain Bd21 chromosome 5, whole genome shotgun sequence.
UUUGUACUUUCUCCGUCCAACAAAGGAUGUCUCAAUUUUGACUAAAUUUGAAUACAUCUAUACAUUAGAUCAUGUCUAGAUACAUCCAAAUUUUGACAAACUUGAGACAUUUUUUGCUGGACGGAGAGAUUACAAA